rnacentral:sRNA from 1 species
GGUUUAAAGGUUUCGUGGUUGUAUAGACAUUUACCCGUGGCUGCGUACCUGGAGCUGGCAUCUGUCUCAGCACUUGGACGAGGCCUGUAGAGCUCUUUACCUGUGCCGCUCGUUUAACCAUCUGUUACCACCUUGACUGUUCACCUCCCCCUCCAAGUGUGGCUUGCCUUUCUGAGGUAAUUUUCCAGAACCAUUGCUUUCCAAGAAUCUUUCAUCUAUUUCAAAUCCUGUCCUUCCUCCAAAAAAAAUACCUAAGGAAUUUAUAAUGAAAUACAAACGUGGAGAAAUAAAUCCUGUGUCAGCCUUGCACCAGUUUGCACAAAUGCAGCGAGUUCAGCUUGACCUUAAGGAAACUGUGACAACAGGUAAUGUUAUGGGACCAUAUUUUGCCUUUUGUGCUGUGGUGGAUGGUAUUCAGUACAAGACUGGACUGGGACAAAAUAAAAAGGAAUCUAGAUCCAAUGCAGCAAAAUUAGCUCUUGAUGAGCUUCUACAACUGGAUGAACCUGAACCACGAAUUUUAGAAACAUCAGGUCCUCCUCCUUUCCCUGCAGAACCUGUUGUUUUACCUGAACCAGCAUAUGUUUCAAAAGUACAUUAUGAAGGGAGACAUAUUCAAUAUGCAAAGAUUUCACAGAUCGUUAAAGAAACAUUUAAUCAACUAAUUUCUAAUCGUUCAGAAUACCUGAAAUAUAGCAGUUCAUUGGCUGCUUUUAUAAUUGAAAGAGCUGGACAACAUGAGGUUGUAGCUAUAGGCACAGGUGAAUACA